ACGAACGCUGGCGGCGUGCUUCACACCUGCAAGUCGAACGGAAAGGCCCUGCUUGCCGGGUACUCGAGUGGCGAACGGGUGAGUAACACGUGGGUGAUCUGCCCUGCACUUCGGGAUAAGCCUGGGAAACUGGGUCUAAUACCGGAUAGGAGCCAUUUUUAGUGUGAUGGUUGGAAAGUUUUUUCGGUGUAGGAUGAGCUCGCGGCCUAUCAGCUUGUUGGUGGGGUAAUGGCCUACCAAGGCGGCGACGGGUAGCCGGCCUGAGAGGGUGGACGGCCACAUUGGGACUGAGAUACGGCCCAGACUCCUACGGGAGGCAGCAGUGGGGAAUAUUGCACAAUGGGCGCAAGCCUGAUGCAGCGACGCCGCGUGGGGGAUGACGGCCUUCGGGUUGUAAACUCCUUUCGCUAGGGACGAAGCUUUUUGUGACGGUACCUAGAUAAGAAGCACCGGCUAACUACGU
rnacentral:rRNA from 1 species